rnacentral:rRNA from 1 species
AAUCAACGCUGGCGGCGUGCCUCAGACAUGCAAGUCGAACGCGAAACCUUCCUUCGGGAGGGGAGUAGAGUGGCGCACGGGUGAGUAACACGUAGGUAAUCUACCUUUGGGUGGGGAAUAACAGCCGGAAACGGCUGCUAAUACCGCAUAAUGCAGCGGCUCGACAUCGAGACAGUUGUUAAAGCGGGGGAUCGUAAGACCUCGCGCCUAAAGAGGAGCCUGCGGCAGAUUAGCUAGUUGGUAAGGUAACGGCUUACCAAGGCGACGAUCUGUAGCCGGCCUGAGAGGGCGGUCGGCCACACUGACACUGACAUUACGGGUCAGACUCCUACGGGAGGCAGCAGUCGGGAAUUUUGGGCAAUGGG